UGGGAUGUAGCUCAGUGGUAGAGCACUGCCUGAAAUGUGCAAGGCCCUGGAUUCAAUCUCCAGCACUGUAA
rnacentral:tRNA from 1 species